GAUAAAUGAAGUCCACAAAAUUGGAAAAUCUGAUCAGUAUCAUAGUAUGGUCCACCUGCUAUAGGAUAUAAUUUCUACAAGUCAUUGGUGAUAAUACAGCAAUUUUUAAUGGUUUAACCAGGUGACACCUUUUAUUUAUAGGAUUAUAUCCUUCGCAUAUCACAAAAAUCUAUUGUUUGAUGCCAAGAGGAUAACAUUUCCUGAGAG
rnacentral:lncRNA from 1 species